rnacentral:rRNA from 1 species
GAUGAACGCUGGCGGCGUGCCUAAUACAUGCAAGUCGAGCGAACGGACGAGAAGCUUGCGUCUCUGAUGUUAGCGGCGGACGGGUGAGUAACACGUGGAUAACCUACCUAUAAGACUGGGAUAACUUCGGGAAACCGUAGCUAAUACCGGCUAAUAUUUUGAACCGCAUGGUUCAAAAGUGAAAGACGGUCUUGCUGUCACUUAUAGAUGGAUCCGCGCUGCAUUAGCUAGUUGGUAAGGUAACGGCUUACCAAGGCAACGAUGCAUAGCCGACCUGAGAGGGUGAUCGGCCACACUGGAACUGAGACACGGUCCAGACUCCUACGGGAGGCAGCAGUAGGGAAUCUUCCGCAAUGGGCGAAAGCCUGACGCAGCAACGCCGCGUGAGUGAUGAAGGUCUUCGGAUCGUAAAACUCUGUUAUUAGGGAAGAACAUAUGUGUAAGUAACUGUGCACAUCUUGACGGUACCUAAUCAGAAAGCCACGGCUAACUACGUG